rnacentral:rRNA from 1 species
CCUACGGGGGGCAGCAGUGGGGAAUAUUGCACAAUGGGCGCAAGCCUGAUGCAGCCAUGCCGCGUGUGUGAAGAAGGCCUUCGGGUUGUAAAGCACUUUCAGCGGGGAGGAAGGCGUUAAGGUUAAUAACCUUGGCGAUUGACGUUACCCGCAGAAGAAGCACCGGCUAACUCCGUGCCAGCAGCCGCGGUAAUACGGAGGGUGCAAGCGUUAAUCGGAAUUACUGGGCGUAAAGCGCACGCAGGCGGUCUGUCAGGUCGGAUGUGAAAUCCCCGGGCUCAACCUGGGAACUGCAUUCGAAACUGGCAGGCUAGAGUCUUGUAGAGGGGGGUAGAAUUCCAGGUGUAGCGGUGAAAUGCGUAGAGAUCUGGAGGAAUACCGGUGGCGAAGACGGCCCCCUGGACAAAGACUGACGCUCAGGUGCGAAAGCGUGGGGAGCAAACAGGAUUAGAUACCCGGGUAGUC